AACGAACGCUGGCGGCAUGCCUAACACAUGCAAGUCGAACGAGAUCUUCGGGUCUAGUGGCGCACGGGUGCGUAGCGCGUGGGAAUCUGCCCUUUGGUUCGGAAUAACAGUUGGAAACGACUGCUAAUACCGGAUGAUGACGAAAGUCCAAAGAUUUAUCGCCAGAGGAUGAGCCCGCGUAGGAUUAGCUAGUUGAUGUGGUAAAGGCGCACCAAGGCGACGAUCCUUAGCUGGUCUGAGAGGAUGAUCAGCCACACUGGGACUGAGACACGGCCCAGACUCCUACGGGAGGCAGCAGUGGGGAAUAUUGGACAAUGGGCGAAAGCCUGAUCCAGCAAUGCCGCGUGAGUGAUGAAGGCCUUAGGGUUGUAAAGCUCUUUUACCCGGGAUGAUAAUGACAGUACCGGGAGAAUAAGCUCCGGCUAACUCCGUGCCAGCCGCCGCAGUAA
rnacentral:rRNA from 1 species